UCGGGAAUUUUGGGCAAUGGGGGAAACCCUGACCCAGCAACGCCGCGUGAAGGAUGAAGUAUUUCGGUAUGUAAACUUCGAAAGAAUAGGAAGAAUAAAUGACGGUACUAUUUAUAAGGUCCGGCUAACUACGUGCCAGCAGCCGCGGUAAUACGUAGGGACCAAGCGUUGUUCGGAUUUACUGGGCGUAAAGGGCGCGUAGGCGGCAUGACAAGUCACUUGUGAAAUCUCUGGGCUUAACCCAGAACGGCCAAGUGAUACUGUCGCGCUAGAGUGCAGAAGGGGCAAUCGGAAUUCUUGGUGUAGCGGUGAAAUGCGUAGAUAUCAAGAGGAACACCUGAGGUGAAGACGGGUUGCUGGGCUGACACUGACGCUGAGGCGCGAAAGCCAGGGGAGCAAACGCGAUUAGAUACCCUCGUAGUCCCUGAGCGGGCUGGCAAGGCGCAU
rnacentral:rRNA from 1 species